AUUGAACGCUGGCGGCAUGCCUUACACAUGCAAGUCGAACGGUAACAGGUCUUCGGAUGCUGACGAGUGGCGAACGGGUGAGUAAUACAUCGGAACGUGCCCGAUCGUGGGGGAUAACGGAGCGAAAGCUUUGCUAAUACCGCAUAAGAUCUAUGGAUGAAAGCAGGGGACCGCAAGGCCUUGCGCGAACGGAGCGGCCGAUGGCAGAUUGGGUAGUUGGUGGGAUAAAAGCUUACCAAGCCGACGAUCUGUAGCUGGUCUGAGAGGACGACCAGCUACACUGGGAAUGAGACACGUCCCAGACUCCUACGGGAGGCAGCAGUGGGGAAUUUUGGACAAUGGGCGAAAGCCUGAUCCAGCCAUGCCGCGUGCAGGAUGAAGGCCUUCGGGUUGUAAACUGCUUUUGUACGGAACGAAAAGACUCUUUCUAAUAAAGAGAGUCCAUGACGGUACCGUAAGAAUAAGCACCGGCUAACUACGUGCCAGCAGCCGCCGCGGUAA
rnacentral:rRNA from 1 species